GUGGGGAAUCUUAGACAAUGGGGGAAACCCUGAUCUAGCCAUGCCGCGUGAGCGAUGAAGGCCUUAGGGUUGUAAAGCUCUUUCAGCUGGGAAGAUAAUGACUGUACCAGCAGAAGAAGCCCCGGCUAACUCCGUGCCAGCAGCCGCGGUAAUACGGAGGGGGCUAGCGUUGUUCGGAAUUACUGGGCGUAAAGCGCACGUAGGCGGACCGGAAAGUCAGAGGUGAAAUCCCAGGGCUCAACCUUGGAACUGCCUUUGAAACUCCUGGUCUUGAGGUCGAGAGAGGUGAGUGGAAUUCCGAGUGUAGAGGUGAAAUUCGUAGAUAUUCGGAGGAACACCAGUGGCGAAGGCGACUCACUGGCCCAAUACUGACGCUGAGGCGCGAAAGCGUGGGGAGCAAACAGGAUUAGAAACCCUGGUAGUCC
rnacentral:rRNA from 1 species